rnacentral:rRNA from 1 species
AUUGAACGCUGGCGGCAUGCCUUACACAUGCAAGUCGAACGGUAACGCGGGGCAACCUGGCGACGAGUGGCGAACGGGUGAGUAAUACAUCGGAACGUGCCCAGUAGUGGGGGAUAGCCCGGCGAAAGCCGGAUUAAUACCGCAUACGACCUACGGGUGAAAGCGGGGGAUCGCAAGACCUCGCGCUAUUGGAGCGGCCGAUGUCAGAUUAGGUAGUUGGUGAGGUAAAGGCUCACCAAGCCUUCGAUCUGUAGCUGGUCUGAGAGGACGACCAGCCACACUGGGACUGAGACACGGCCCAGACUCCUACGGGAGGCAGCAGUGGGGAAUUUUGGACAAUGGGCGCAAGCCUGAUCCAGCCAUGCCGCGUGCGGGAAGAAGGCCUUCGGGUUGUAAACCGCUUUUGUCAGGGAAGAAACGCUCCGGGCUAAUACCCAGGGGUAAUGACGGUACCUGAAGAAUAAGCACCGGCUAACUACGUGCCAGCAGCCGCGGUAAUACGUAGGGUGCAAGCGUUAAUCGGAAUUACUGGGCGUAAAGCGUGCGCAGGCGGUUAUGCAAGACAGAUGUGACACAUCCCCCGGGGCUUU